GUGACCUCCUGGGAAGCAGGUGGCUAUUGAGCUUGGCAGUCUCUCCCCAGGAUGCGGCAGAGGGGCUCACCUUGGUGCGCCAAGAAGAGCAGCUGAGCUGUGCUGAGUUGGGUCUGUCUCCAUCCAGUAUUUGUGGUAACCACAGGCUUCGGGAUAGUCUGCUUCUACCUGGGCACAGCUGUGGAAACUUCCUCGGGCCUUAGAUUUUGCAUCGUUAGGGAUCCGCACCCAGGCAGAUGGACUGCCUCUCCUUUGACUUCCCGCCUGUUAUGCUUGGGACUACUGCAGAAGCUUAGCCCCUUCUGAUGUUUGUGUAUGACAAUCUACAGGCCCAGUCCUUGACACUAUCUGAUCCAGAGAGCUGCCUUGUGGGGAUGCAGACCUUCUACAAACAGGCACACUAUGCACCAGGCACCCAGCACAGUCACCCUGGCGCUCCACUCUCAAAAACAAAAGAAGGAUGGAGACCCACUGGACACAUAAAAAAGACCAGAAAUACGAGAAAGAAGUAGGAGAACAACCAACCUCAUAGGGAAAAUAAAUAUUUCAGAAAGCAGAAGAUAAUUCCUCAAAAUAUUAACCAGUGUCUUCAGAGGAAUGAAGGUCUGAGGCCUAUAAUGAAAAGGAAAUAAAUAAAUAAAUAAAUAAAUAAAUAAUUGCUGUCAAAAAGGAAUCACACGGUAAAGAUAGAAGCUUAGAAAUUAAACAGGAUGAUUUAAAUCAAAAUUUUAAUUAAGCUGAGCCAGGUGGUACACACCCUUAAUCCCAACCCUCAAGAGGCAGAGACGGGUGGAUCUUUGUGAGUUUGAAGCCAGCUUGGUCUACAUAGGGAG
rnacentral:lncRNA from 1 species